UACGUAGGGUGCAAGCGUUAUCCGGAAUUAUUGGGCGUAAAGAGCUCGUAGGCGGUUUGUCGCGUCUGCUGUGAAACUGGGGCUCAACCCCAGCCUGCAGUGGUACGGGCAGACUAGAGUGCGGUAGGGGAGAUUGGAAUUCCUGGUGUAGCGGUGGAAUGCGUAGAGAUCGGGAGAACACCAGUGGCGAAGGCGGCUACCUGGACCAGCACUGACACUGAGGCACGAA
rnacentral:rRNA from 1 species